rnacentral:rRNA from 1 species
GACGAACGCUGGCGGCGUGCUUAACACAUGCAAGUCGAACGGAAAAGCCCUGCUUUUGUGGGGUGCUCGAGUGGCGAACGGGUGAGUAACACGUGAGUAACCUGCCCUUGACUUUGGGAUAACUUCAGGAAACUGGGGCUAAUACCGGAUAGGAGCUCCUGCUGCAUGGUGGGGGUUGGAAAGUUUCGGCGGUUGGGGAUGGACUCGCGGCUUAUCAGCUUGUUGGUGGGGUAGUGGCUUACCAAGGCUUUGACGGGUAGCCGGCCUGAGAGGGUGACCGGACACAUUGGGACUGAGAUACGGCCCAGACUCCUACGGGAGGCAGCAGUGGGGAAUAUUGCACAAUGGGCGGAAGCCUGAUGCAGCAACGCCGCGUGCGGGAUGACGGCCUUCGGGUUGUAAACCGCUUUCGCCUGUGACGAAGCGUGAGUGACGGUAAUGGGUAAAGAAGCACCGGCUAACUACGUG